rnacentral:rRNA from 1 species
UACGGAGGGUGCAAGCGUUAUCCGGAUUCACUGGGUUUAAAGGGUGCGUAGGUGGGUCUGUAAGUCCGUGGUGAAAUCUCCGAGCUUAACUUGGAAACUGCCAUGGAUACUAUAGGUCUUGAAUGCCGUGGAGGUCAGCGGAAUAUGUCAUGUAGCGGUGAAAUGCUUAGAUAUGACAUAGAACACCAAUUGCGAAGGCAGCUGACUACACGAAUAUUGACACUGAGGCACGAAAGCGUGGGGAUCAAACAGG